rnacentral:rRNA from 1 species
GUGAUUCCUACGGGAGGCAGCAGUGGGGAAUAUUGGGCAAUGGAGGAAACUCUGACCCAGCGACGCCGCGUGCGGGAUGAAGGCCUUCGGGUUGUAAACCGCUUUCAGUAGGGAAGAAGCGAAAGUGACGGUACCUACAAAAGAAGCACCGGCUAACUAUGUGCCAGCAGCCGCGGUAAUACAUAGGGUGCAAGCGUUGUCCGGAAUUAUUGGGCGUAAAGAGCUCGUAGGUCGUUUGUUACGUCGGAUGUGAAAACCUGAGGCUCAACCUCAGGCCUGCAUUCGAUACGGGCAAACUAGAGUUUGGUAGGGGAGACUGGAAUUCCUGGUGUAGCGGUGGAAUGCGCAGAUAUCAGGAGGAACACCAAUGGCGAAGGCAGGUCUCUGGGCCAAUACUGACACUGAGGAGCGAAAGUCUGGGGAGCGAACAGGAUUAGAUACCCUGGUAGUCCAGACCGUAAACGGUGGGCACUAGUUGUGGGAACCUUCCACGGUUUCUGCGACGCAGCUAACGCAUUAAGUGCCCCGCCUGGGGAGUACGAUCGCAAGAUUAAAACUCAAAGGAAUUGACGGAAU